rnacentral:rRNA from 1 species
AUUGAACGCUGGCGGCAGGCCUAACACAUGCAAGUCGAGCGGAUCGGCGGACGGGUGAGUAAUGCCUAGGAAUCUGCCUGGUAGUGGGGGAUAACGUCCGGAAACGGGCGCUAAUACCGCAUACUAUCAGAUGAGCCUAGGUCGGAUUAGCUAGUUGGUGGGGUAAAGGCCUACCAAGGCGACGAUCCGUAACUGUCCUGAGAGGAGGAUCAGGCACACGUGAACUGAGAGACGUUGCAGACUCCGACGGGAGACAGCAGUGGGGAAUAUUGGACAAUGGGCGAAAGCCUGAUCCAGCCAUGCCGCGUGUGUGAAGAAGGUCUUCGGAUUGUAAAGCACUUUAAGUUGGGAAGCGUUACCAACAGAAUAAGCACCGGCUAACUUCGUGCCAGCAGCCGCGGUAAUUC